GAUGAACGCUGGCGGCGUGCCUAAUACAUGCAAGUCGAGCGAACAGAUAAGGAGCUUGCUCCUUUGACGUUAGCGGCGGACGGGUGAGUAACACGUGGGUAACCUACCUAUAAGACUGGGAUAACUUCGGGAAACCGGAGCUAAUACCGGAUAACAUUUGGAACCGCAUGGUUCUAAAGUGAAAGAUGGUUUUGCUAUCACUUAUAGAUGGACCCGCGCCGUAUUAGCUAGUUGGUAAGGUAACGGCUUACCAAGGCGACGAUACGUAGCCGACCUGAGAGGGGGAUCGGCCACACUGGAACUGAGACACGGUCCAGACUCCUACGGGAGGCAGCAGUAGGGAAUCUUCCGCAAUGGGCGAAAGCCUGACGGAGCAACGCCGCGUGAGUGAUGAAGGGUUUCGGCUCGUAAAACUCUGUUAUUAGGGAAGAACAAAUGUGUAAGUAACGGUGCACGUCUUGACGGUACCUAAGCAGAAAGCCACGGCUAACUACGU
rnacentral:rRNA from 1 species